rnacentral:tRNA from 1 species
GGCACCAUGGUGUAGUGGUUAUCACAUCUGCCUAACACGCAGAAUGUCCCCAGUUCAAGCCUGGGUGGUGUCA